GAUGAACGCUGGCGGCGUGCCUAAUACAUGCAAGUCGAGCGAACGGACGAGAAGCUUGCUUCUCGGAUGUUAGCGGCGGACGGGUGAGUAACACGUGGAUAACCUACCUAUAAGACUGGGAUAACUUCGGGAAACCGGAGCUAAUACCGGAUGAUAUUUUGAACCGCAUGGUUCAAAAGUGAAAGACGGUCUUGCUGUCACUUAUAGAUGGAUCCGCGCUGCAUUAGCUAGUUGGUAAGGUAACGGCUUACCAAGGCAACGAUGCAUAGCCGACCUGGGAGGGUGAUCGGCCACACUGGAACUGAGACACGGUCCAGACUCCUACGGGAGGCAGCAGUAGGGAAUCUUCCGCAAAGGGCGAAAGCCUGACGGAGCAACGCCGCGUGAGUGAUGAAGGUCUUCGGAUCGUAAAACUCUGUUAUUAGGGAAGAACAUAUGUGUAAGUAACUGUGCACAUCUUGACGGUACCUAAUCAGAAAGCCACGGCUAACUACGUG
rnacentral:rRNA from 1 species